rnacentral:rRNA from 1 species
UACAGAGGGUGCAAGCGUUAAUCGGAAUUACUGGGCGUAAAGCGUGCGUAGACGGUUGCGUAAGUCAGAUGUGAAAGCCCCGGGCUCAACCUGGGAAUUGCAUUUGAGACUGCGUAGCUAGGGUGCGGAAGAGGGAAGCGGAAUUUCCGGUGUAGCGGUGAAAUGCGUAGAUAUCGGAAGGAACACCAGUGGCGAAAGCGGCUUCCUGGUCCAGCACCGACGUUCAGGCACGAAAGCGUGGGUAGCAAACAGG